rfam:Schistosoma mansoni, Puerto Rico, WGS project CABG01000000 data, contig: 0049
AUCCAGCCGACGAGUCCCAAAUAGGACGAAAUGCGCAUCCUGGAU